UACGUAGGGGGCAAGCGUUGUCCGGAAUCAUUGGGCGUAAAGCGCGUGUAGGCGGCCCGGUAAGUCCGCUGUGAAAGUCGGGGGCUCAACCCUCGGAUGCCGGUGGAUACUGUCGGGCUAGAGUGCGGGAGAGGCGAGUGGAAUUCCUGGUGUAGCGGUGAAAUGCGCAGAUAUCAGGAGGAACACCAAUUGCGAAGGCAGCUCGCUGGAACGUAACUGACGCUGGAGACGCGAAAGCGUGGGGAGCAAACAGG
rnacentral:rRNA from 1 species